rnacentral:rRNA from 1 species
UACGGAGGAUGCGAGCGUUAUCCGGAUUUAUUGGGUUUAAAGGGUGCGUAGGCGGCAUUAUAAGUUAGUGGUAAAAUAUUGGGGCUUCACCUCACUACGCCAUUAAUACUGUAGAGCUAGAGAACAGACGAGGUAGGCGGAAUAAGUUAAGUAGCGGUGAAAUGCUUAGAUAUCACGAAGAACCCCGAUUGCGAAGGCAGCCUGCCGCAGCGUUACUGACGCUGAAGCUCGAAAGCGCGGGUAUCGAACAGG